ACUAACAAGGAUUCCCCUAGUAACGGCGAGUGAAGCGGGAAGAGCUCAAAUUUGAAAUCUAACGGACUCAGUCUGUUCGAGUUGUAAUCUAUAGGAACGUUUUCCGUGCCGGCUCAUGUACAAGUCCCUUGGAACAGGGCGUCAUAGAGGGUGAGAAUCCCGUACUUGACAUGAACUACCGGUGCUCUGUGAUACGUCUCCAACGAGUCGAGUUGUUUGGGAAUGCAGCUCAAAAUGGGUGGUAAAUUCCAUCUAAAGCUAAAUAUUGGUGUGAGACCGAUAGCGAACAAGUACCGUGAGGGAAAGAUGAAAAGCACUUUGGAAAGAGAGUUAAACAGUAUGUGAAAUUGUUGAAAGGGAAACGAUUGAAGUCAGUCAUGUCCUUCAGAUUCAGCUGGUUCUGCCGGUGUACUUCUGUUGGAUGGGGUCAACAUCAGUUUUGGAUGCCGGAUAAAGGCUGGAGGAAGGUAGCACCCCCGGGUGAACUUAUAGCCUCCUGUCGCAUACGGUGACCGGGACUGAGGAACGCAGCUUGCCUUUAUGGCCGGGGUUCGCCCACGUACAAGCUUAGGAUGUUGACAUAAUGGCUUUAAACGACCCGUCUUGAAACACGGACC
rnacentral:rRNA from 1 species